ACGGCUCAGUAACACGUGGACAAUCUGCCCAAGGGUCUGGGAUAACCCCGGGAAACUGGGGAUAAGACCGGAUGGGCCACCUAUGCUGGAAUGCUUGGUGGUUUAAAGGCAACGCCCUUGGAUGGGUCUGCGGCGGAUUAGGUUGACGCCGGUGUAACGUACCGGCGUGCCUGUAAUCCGUACGGGUUGUGGGAGCAAGAGCCCGGAGAUGGAUUCUGAGACACGAAUCCAGGCCCUACGGGGCGCAGCAGGCGCGAAAACUCUACAAUGCAGGCAACUGCGAUAGGGGGACAUCGAGUGGCGCCCACCUUGGGCGCCUGUCCCACCGUCUAAAAAACGGUGGUUAGCAAGGGCCGGGUAAGACCGGUGCCAGCCGCCGCGGUAAUACCGGCGGCUCGAGUGGUGGCCGAUAUUAUUGAGUCUAAAGGGUCCGUAGCCGGCUCCGUGGGUCCCCCGGGAAAUCCAGCGGCUUAACCGUUGGGCGCCCGUGGGAUACCGCGUUGCUUGGGACCGGGAGAGGUGGGAGGUACUCGGGGGGUAGGGGUGAAAUCCUGUAAUCCUCCGGGGACCACCGGUGGCGAAGGCGUCCCACCAGAACGGGUCCGACGGUGAGGGACGAAAGCUAGGGGCACGAACCGGAUUAGAUACCCGGGUAGUCCUAGCCGUAAACGAUGCCCGCUAGGUGUCACGGCGGUCGUGAAUCGCCGUGGUGCCGUAGGGAAGCCGCGAAGCGGGCCACUUGGGAAGUACGACCGCAAGGUUGAAACUUAAAGGAAUUGGCGGGGGAGCAC
rnacentral:rRNA from 1 species